AACAAGUAUUGCUCCUAAUUAGACCAACUGAAAGCAGCACUUGAUGGAAAGCACCCAGAAAUAGUCAACAGAAAACACAUAAUCUUUUAUCAGGAUAAUGAUAUCAUAGGACCAUGUGUUUCUUUGGUGACAGGCAGAAAUCGUUACAGCUUGGCUGGGUAGUUCUGAUUCAUCCACCGUAUUCACCAGACACUGCACCUUCAGACUGCUCUUUAUUUCAGUCUUCACAAAAUUCUCUUAAUGCAGAGUAUUUCAAUUCCCUGGAAGACUGUAAAAGGAACCUGGAAUAGUUCUUUGCUCAAAAAGAUCAAAUGUCUUGGAAAGAUGGAAUUCUAAAGUUGCCUGGAAAAUGACAGAAGGUAGCGGAACAAAAUGGUGAAUACGUUGGUCAAUUAAAUUCUUGGUGAAAAUGAAAAAUGUGUCUUUUAUUUUUACUUGAAAAACAAGGAACUUUCCGGCCAGCCCAUAGAAGCCGCGCGGCGGCUCCUCCCAAGCGGUAGGUCUUGUGUCAAUCAUGCCCGGAGGCUCCACCCCAGAGGAGGAGGAGCCAGAGGAGCCAGGAGCCACCCGCUGGCUUUGAGAACCUGUCCCAUUCUCGCCUUCGCCCCCACAAGGCUUCUGGCUCUGUAAGUUGAAAAUAACUGAUGGCAAUGCAAAAUAACUGUUGUCUGCUGACAUGGAAAUGAUUCCUUCCAUUGAUGGACAACACCUACCCCUCCAUCCUAUGCAAAAGCCAAUUUUGUAUCCGUUUGCAUAUUCACUUCAACAUUCCUUACUCCAUAAGAAUUUGUGCUUCUUUGCCUUCUCCCUUGAACCAGUUGCUUAUCUCUUUGGUUUACUCAGUGAGUUAAAUAAAAUCUUUACCU
ensembl:lncRNA